rnacentral:rRNA from 1 species
AUUGAACGCUGGCGGCAGGCCUAACACAUGCAAGUCGAACGAGUGGCGGACGGGUGAGUAAUGUCUGGGAACCUGCCUGAUGGAGGGGGAUAACUACUGGAAAAGGUAGCUAAUACCGCAUACCAUCAGAUGUGCCCAGAUUGGAUUAGCUAGUUGGUGGGGUAACGGCUCACCAAGGCGACGAUCCCUAGCUGGUCUGAGAGGAUGACCAGCCACACUGGAACUUAGACACGGUCCAGACUCCUACGGGAGGCAGCAGUGGGGAAUAUUGGACAAUGGGCGCAAGCCUGAUCCAGCCAUGCCGCGUGUGUGAAGAAGGCCUUCGGGUUGUAAAGUACUUUCGGCAGGGAGGCGUUACCCGCCGAAGAAGCACCGGCUAACUCCGUGCCAGCAGCCGCGGUAAUAC